UCAAGCUCCUCUGUCCAUGGAAUUCAUUAAAUUGAAAUUUCACAAGUAAAUGACCUCUCCCCGAGGCUGGACUUCCAUUCCCAGUCAGAACACGUCCCGCCCCAUCAGUUGCGGAGACCCCACAAAAUUAUGAAAUGCCACAUGUGGUUCCCAUUAUAUUAAUAUUUCUGCUGGAGCACAACUUUGGGAUCCUGAGACAACCUUGAGAACAAGGGCGGAAAGGAAUCCAUAAUGAAGAGCUGAAGGUGACAGGAGUUCUCAUCACAUGAACUGAUCCUCAGGAGUCAAGUGUGUGACCGUUAAGAGUAAAGCUUCAACAGCCCAACGGAAGAUCAGAAGAACCAUGGCUUCACUUGUGUCCCACAUCCUGACGACACUUUCACGAAAAUAUAGCCAAAUGGGAAAGCCCAGGGCAGCUGCCUCACUUGCAGCAGGCUUAAAGAAAAUACCACCCAAGCCGCUGGGAUUAUCAUUUUAAUAAAGAAUCCUCACGAGUGCUGAUCAGAGUCACCUCCCAGGACAGAUGCUCUGCAGGAUCAAAUGGGCUUCCAAUGGAGUCUGGAAAACCCGCCUGGUUUCUGUGAUGCUGAAACCUCCACCAAAUGGAAGAAAUUAACCACCUGAGGCCACGAGCAGACAGCCCCCAGACCUCCAGGAGCCGAAGGACUGACAAUGUUACCCAUGCUGUCACCACACCAUCAGCCAGUCAGAGAAGCGUG